GGCAAGGUGGCCGAGUGGUUAAGGCGCUGUGUUUAGGCAGGCUUCAUAGCAAGCAUAAACCGCAGUCUUCACGGGCGUGGGUUCGAAUCCCACCCUUGUCA